CCUACGGGGGGCAGCAGUGGGGAAUAUUGGACAAUGGGGGCAACCCUGAUCCAGCCAUGCCGCGUGUGUGAAGAAGGCCCUCGGGUUGUAAAGCACUUUCAGUGAGGAAGAACGCCUGGUGGUUAAUACCCAUCAGGAAAGACAUCACUCACAGAAGAAGCACCGGCUAACUCCGUGCCAGCAGCCGCGGUAAUACGGAGGGUGCGAGCGUUAAUCGGAAUUACUGGGCGUAAAGCGCGCGUAGGUGGCUUGAUAAGCCGGUUGUGAAAGCCCCGGGCUCAACCUGGGAACGGCAUCCGGAACUGUCAAGCUAGAGUGCAGGAGAGGAAGGUAGAAUUCCCGGUGUAGCGGUGAAAUGCGUAGAGAUCGGGAGGAAUACCAGUGGCGAAGGCGGCCUUCUGGACUGACACUGACACUGAGGUGCGAAAGCGUGGGUAGCAAACAGGAUUAGUACCCUUGUAGUC
rnacentral:rRNA from 1 species